AACGCUGGCGGCGUGCCUAACACAUGCAAGUCGAACGAAGCGCUUUGAAGUUUCGGACGGAUGAGUGACUGAGUGGCGGACGGGUGAGUAACGCGUGGGUAACCUGCCUCAUACAGGGGAUAACAGUUAGAAAUGACUGCUAAUACCGCAUAAGCGCACAGCAUCGCAUGAUGCAGUGUGAAAAGCCGAGACGGUAUGAGAUGGACCCGCGUCUGAUUAGAUAGUUGGUGAGGUAACGGCUCACCAAGUCGACGAUCAGUAGCCGGACUGAGAGGUUGAACGGCCACAUUGGGACUGAGACACGGCCCAGACUCCUACGGGAGGCAGCAGUGGGGAAUAUUGCACAAUGGGCGCAAGCCUGAUGCAGCAACGCCGCGUGAGGGAAGACGGUCUUCGGAUUGUAAACCUCUGUCCUUGGUGAAGAAACAUGACGGUAGCCAUGGAGGAAGCCACGGCUAACUACGUG
rnacentral:rRNA from 1 species